rnacentral:pre_miRNA from 1 species
UCACAGUGGUUAUAUACUGCCUGUGGUAUUUACGAACAUGCAGUAUAUCCAUCGUGC